rnacentral:rRNA from 1 species
UACGUAGGGUGCGAGCGUUAAUCGGAAUUACUGGGCGUAAAGCGUGCGUAGGCGGUUCGCUGUGUCCGAUGUGAAAGCCCCGGGCUUAACCUGGGAAUGGCAUUUGGGACUGCAAGGCUCGAGUGCGGCAGAGGAGACUGGAAUUCCUGGUGUAGCAGUGAAAUGCGUAGAUAUCAGGAGGAACACCGAUGGCGAAGGCAGGUCUCUGGGCUGACACUGACGCUCAUGCACGAAAGCGUGGGGAGCAAACAGG